rnacentral:rRNA from 1 species
CCCUUAGAUGUUCUGGGCCGCACGCGCGCUACACUGAUGAAUUCAACGAGCACUAACCUGUGCCGAAAGGUUCGGGUAAUCUUGUGAAAUUUCAUCGUGAUGGGGAUUGAUUAUUGCAAUUUUUAAUCAUAAACGAGGAAUGCCUAGUAAGCGUGAGUCAUCAGCUCACGUUGAUUACGUCCCUGCCCUUUGUACACACCGCCCGUCGCUCCUACCGAUUGAAUGUACCAGUGAAAAGUUCGGAUUGGAGAUAGGAAACGGCAACGUAUCCUAUUUCCGAGAAAAUCUUUAAACUUUCCCAUUUAGAGGAAGGAGAAGUCGUAACA